UAAGCGGAGGAAAAGAAACCAACAGGGAUUGCCCCAGUAGCGGCGAGUGAAGCGGCAAGAGCUCAGAUUUGAAAUCGUGUUUCGGCACGAGUUGUAGAGUGUAGGCGGGAGUCUCUGUGGAGCGCGGUGUCCAAGUCCCUUGGAACAGGGUGCCUGAGAGGGUGAGAGCCCCGUAGGGUGCUGCGCGAAGCUUUUGAGGCCCUGCUGACGAGUCGAGUUGUUUGGGAAUGCAGCUCCAAGCGGGUGGUAAAUUCCAUCUAAGGCUAAAUAUUGGCGAGAGACCGAUAGCGAACAAGUACUGUGAAGGAAAGAUGAAAAGCACUUUGAAAAGAGAGUGAAACAGCACGUGAAAUUGUUGAAAGGGAAGGGUAUUGGGCUCGACAUGGGGGGUGCGCACCGCUGUCUCUUGUAGGCGGCGCUCUGGGCGCCCUCUGGGCCAGCAUCGGUUCCUGCUGCGGGAGAAGGGGCUCCGGAAAGUGGCUCUUCGGAGUGUUAUAGCCGGGGCCAGAUGCCGCGUGUGGGGACCGAGGACUGCGGCUUCUGUCUCGGAUGCUGGCAUAACGGCGCAAUACCGCCCGUCUU
rnacentral:rRNA from 1 species